CCUACGGGUGGCAGCAGUGAGGAAUAUUGGUCAAUGGGCGCAAGCCUGAACCAGCCAAGUCGCGUGAAGGAUGACUGCCCUACGGGUUGUAAACUUCUUUUAUAAAGGAAUAAAGUGAGGCACGUGUGCCUUUUUGUAUGUACUUUAUGAAUAAGGAUCGGCUAACUCCGUGCCAGCAGCCGCGGUAAUACGGAGGAUUCGAGCGUUAUCCGGAUUUAUUGGGUUUAAAGGGAGCGUAGAUGGGUGGUUAAGUCAGAGGUGAAAGUUUGGGGCUCAACCGUGAAAUUGCAAUUGAUACUGGCAGCCUAGAGUACAGUUGAGGUAGGCGGAAUGCGUGGUGUAGCGGUGAAAUGCUUAGAGAUCACGAAGAACACCGAUUGCGAAGGCAGCCUACUAAACUGCCACUGACGUUGAGGCUCGAAAGUGUGGGGAGCAAACAGGAUUAGAUACCCGUGUAGUC
rnacentral:rRNA from 1 species